rnacentral:rRNA from 1 species
UACAGAGGUCUCAAGCGUUGUUCGGAUUCAUUGGGCGUAAAGGGUGCGUAGGUGGCGCGGUAAGUCGGGUGUGAAAUUUCGGAGCUUAACUCCGAAACUGCAUUCGAUACUGCCGUGCUUGAGGACUGGAGAGGAGACUGGAAUUUACGGUGUAGCAGUGAAAUGCGUAGAUAUCGUAAGGAAGACCAGUGGCGAAGGCGGCUUCCUGGACCAAUACUGACGAUCAGGUGCGAAAGCGUGGGGAGCAAACAGG